ensembl:snRNA U6 U6 spliceosomal RNA
GUGCUUACUUUGGCAGCACAUAUUUCUAGACUUGGAACAAUACAGAGAAGAGUAGCAUGGCCCCCGUGCAAGGAUGGCAUGCCAAUUUGUGAGGCAUUCAACAUUGGU